AUUUCUACACUUGUAAACCAAAUGAUAAUAAAUUUUGAAAUUGACCAUUUCUUUUGGGCUUGUUUGAUAGUAAAGUUUAUUGCCGACACUUGGAAACGCUUGUCAUCUAGAAUUAGCACCAAAGUUUGAUAUUAAGGUUUAUUGCAUUCGUAGUCACAAAUAUAUCACCAAAGUAUAAUGUAUGUCAUGAUGCACGCAUAAUACCAAGUACAAAAACACUAGAUUGAUAACACAGAAUUCAAG
rnacentral:lncRNA from 1 species